rnacentral:rRNA from 1 species
GAUGAACGCUGGCGGCGUGCUUAACACAUGCAAGUCGAACGGUGAAGGAGGAGCUUGCUCUUCUGGAUCAGUGGCGAACGGGUGAGUAACACGUGAGCAAUCUGCCCUUGACUCUGGGAUAACAGUUGGAAACAGCUGCUAAUACCGGAUACGAGACGUGACCGCAUGGUCAACGUCUGGAAAGAACUUCGGUCAAGGAUGAGCUCACGGCCUAUCAGCUAGUUGGUGAGGUAAUGGCUCACCAAGGCGACGACGGGUAGCCGGCCUGAGAGGGUGACCGGCCACACUGGGACUGAGACACGGCCCAGACUCCUACGGGAGGCAGCAGUGGGGAAUAUUGCACAAUGGGCGAAAGCCUGAUGCAGCAACGCCGCGUGAGGGACGACGGCCUUCGGGUUGUAAACCUCUUUUAGCAAGGAAGAAGCGAAAGUGACGGUACUUGCAGAAAAAAGCGCCGGCUAACUACGUG